AAUGAACGCUGGCGGCAGGCCUAACACAUGCAAGUCGAACGGAUCCUUCGGGAUUAGUGGCGGACGGGUGAGUAACGCGUGGGAACGUACCCUUUGGUACGGAAUAGCCUCGGGAAACUGGGAGUAAUACCGUAUGUGGUCGAGAGACGAAAGAUUUAUCGCCAAAGGAUUGGCCCGCGUUGGAUUAGGUAGUUGGUGGGGUAAUGGCCUACCAAGCCGACGAUCCAUAGCUGGCUUGAGAGGAUGAUCAGCCACACUGGGACUGAGACACGGCCCAGACUCCUACGGGAGGCAGCAGUGGGGAAUCUUAGACAAUGGGGGAAACCCUGAUCUAGCCAUGCCGCGUGAUCGAUGAAGGCCUUAGGGUUGUAAAGAUCUUUCAGGUGGGAAGAUAAUGACUGUACCACCAGAAGAAGCCCCGGCUAACUCCGUGCCAGCAGCCGCCGUAA
rnacentral:rRNA from 1 species